rnacentral:rRNA from 1 species
UGGGGAAUUUUGGACAAUGGGCGAAAGCCUGAUCCAGCAAUGCCGCGUGUGUGAAGAAGGCCUUCGGGUUGUAAAGCACUUUUGUCCGGAAAGAAAUCCUUGGCUCUAAUACAGUCGGGGGAUGACGGUACCGGAAGAAUAAGCACCGGCUAACUACGUGCCAGCAGCCGCGGUAAUACGUAGGGUGCAAGCGUUAAUCGGAAUUACUGGGCGUAAAGCGUGCGCAGGCGGUUUGCUAAGACCGAUGUGAAAUCCCCGGGCUCAACCUGGGAACUGCAUUGGUGACUGGCAGGCUAGAGUAUGGCAGAGGGGGGUAGAAUUCCACGUNUAGCAGUGAAAUGCGUAGAGAUGUGGAGGAAUAUCGAUGGCGAAGGCAGCCCCCUGGGCCAAUACUGACGCUCAUGCACGAAAAGCGUGGGGAGCAAACAGGAUUAGAUACCCUGGUAGUCCACGCCCUAAACGAUGUCACUAGUUGUUGGGGAUCAUUUCCUUAGUAACGUAGCUAACGCGUGAAGUUGACCGCCUGGGGAGUACGGUCGCAAGAUUAAAACUUAAAGGAA